rnacentral:rRNA from 1 species
CUGGUUGAUCCUGCCAGUAGUCAUAUGCUUGUCUCAAAGACUAAGCCAUGCAUGUCUAAGUAUAAAUGUUAUACAGUGAAACUGCGAAUGGCUCAUUAAAACAGUUAUAGUUUAUUUGAUAAUCGAAUUUACAUGGAUAACCGUGGUAAUUCUAGAGCUAAUACAUGCUGGUUAGCCUGACUUCGAGGAAGGGCUGUAUUUAUUAGAUAACAAACCAAUAUUCUUCGUGUCUAUUGUGAUGACUCAUAAUAACUGAUCGAAUCGCAUGGUCCUUGACCGCGAUAAAUCAUUCAAGUUUCUGCCCCAUCAGCUUUCGAUGGUAGUGUAUUGGACUACCAUGGCUUUAACGGGUAACGGAGGAUUAGGGUUCGAUUCCGGAGAGGGAGCCUGAGAAACGGCUACCACAUCUAAGGAAGGCAGCAGGCGCGUAAAUUACCCAAUCCUGACUCAGGGAGGUAGUGACAAGAAAUAACGGACCGAGGCUUCACGCUUCGGGAUUGCAAUGAGUAGAAUUUAAACCCCUUUACGAGGAUCAAUUGGAGGGCAAGUCUGGU